rnacentral:lncRNA from 1 species
AUUGUUGGGUGUGCGGAUAUGUAUUCAAUAUCUCCACCAAUGUGUAGUGUGAGUGCAGGCUUGUUUGUUUAUGUUCAACAGACCUAAUUGUAGGCUUAUAUUUGUAACUAUCUUUUCUGAUAACCUGUGUAAUAGGCCAAUUUCGCUCGGGCUCAAGACCAUACAAAAAAUAAAAAAAAAUUAAACAGUUCAUUUACAAAUUAAAACCCAAGACCUUAACCCAAUACAAGCCUAAAUCAGAAACCCUAGCCCAAAAAUUACAAGCCCAACAACCUAAACUAUUUUCAGCAAAAAAAAUAAACCCUAGCCCCUAACCCUCUUCAGCCGCUGCCUCUAGCUGCCACCACGCACGCCACCACCGCCGUACGCCAUCCUCCACGCGCCUAGUACCUGUAGAUAAGACAAAAAGCACAACAGACACAGAGAAAAAAAGUAGCAAAAAACGUUAUAUUUUUCGGCUAUAAAAGCCAUGAUUCAUCAAUGUAUUUUUUGGGGGGAC